rnacentral:rRNA from 1 species
CAGCACCGAAUCCCGUGGUCGAUACACCGCCGAGAAAUGUGGUGUUUAGGGAGGGUCCAUUAUCCCGAGAUCAUGCGGCGCGUCCAAGUCCUUCUUGAACGGGGCCACAGCCCAUAGAGGGUGCCAGGCCCGUAGCGACCGCUGCUGAUCGCGGGAGGAUCUCUCCUCAGAGUCGGGUUGCUUGAGAGUGCAGCCCUAAGUGGGUGGUAAACUCCAUCUAAGGCUAAAUAUGACCACGAGACCGAUAGCGAACAAGUACCGUGAGGGAAAGUUGAAAAGCACUUUGAAGAGAGAGUUCAAGAGUACGUGAAACCGUUUAGGGGUAAACCUGAGAAACCCGAAAGGUCGAAGGGAGAAAUUCAUUCGCGUUUCGAUGUUGGCGUGAAGGGGAUUGUGCGACGGAGAAGGUUCGCCCGAUCUGCGCCUUCUCUUUUUCGAUCCGACGUCGAACGCGUGCACUUUUCUCCUGGUAGGACGUCGCGAUCCGUUGGGUGUCGACCUACGGCCCGAGGUGGAGCCCGGACGGUUUUUUGCCGUUCGGACCCUYGGUGUCCUGGCCGACUCGCUCGACGGUAUACGAACGGUCGAGGGCCGCCGUUAUGGCGUUCGACUCGUUGCAAGCGCGUCGGAAGCGUUGGAUACCGGACCUAGCGCCGAUACCGAUCUCCGAUGGCUGUUGGCGACGAAGUUCUCGAACAGACCCUCACGACCGAUCUGCGACGCUAUAGCUUUGGGUACUUUCAGGACCCGUCUUGAAACACGGACCAAGGAGUCUAGCAUGUGCGCGAGUCAUUGGGAAUCAUUAAACCUAAAGGCGUAAUGAAAGUAAAGGUUCGUCUUGCACGGACCGAGGGAGGAUGGGUGGAUCGCCCUUAAAAGCGACCGCUCCGCACUCCCGGGGCGUCUCGUUCUCAUUGCGAGAAGAGGCGCACCAAGAGCGUACACGCUGGGACCCGAAAGAUGGUGAACUAUGCCUGGUC